rnacentral:lncRNA from 1 species
AUUGGAUUUCAGAUCAAGGGCUCCCUCACCAAUUUUGAUUGAAGCUCACAUCCUCGAUGGUGCUGACCUAAAUGUCAUCUUAUCCUCAAGACUGGCCCAGCUUUGGCUGGGGGUAUUGGAUCAGGCAACCUUCUGAAGGCUUCUCAGAAGAGGACUCUAUAGAAGAACAGAAACAAAAACCUGUAAAUGGAAUGUUACAGAAAAUCCUCUCAAGAACUGUGAUUUUUCAACAUUUUUUAUUGAUGUGGAGAACUCAAGAUAACUUCCAAGGGAAGUGCACACCUCCUAAGGUACUGUCAAAUGGAAAGAUUUUUCUUCAUUUUUUUAAAUGAAUCUUUUGAAAGCAGCCUACCCACUGACCCUGGAUUUAAAAUCAGUGAUGUAAGAGGCUGACUUUUUGCAAAGAGGCAACAACUGCAGCUAUUUGGGUUGGUCCCAAUAAGCAGAGACAAAAGCAUUUGAGGGGAAAGCAUUUGGAUCCAGCGCAAUCACGAGCCAACUCUGGCACCUUGUGUGCAACCCUCUUGUUCCAUAAUUCUCCAAUAGGUAUUGCCUUGCUGGACAACAAUCAGAUCUGGUCCUGACAUCUAUCUUCCUUCCCAGGUGAUCUCAAACUGAAGAACAUGGACAACAGAUGGAGAACACACUGCUGGGGAAGAGAACUCUCCUGCUUUCCCCUUCAGCACUACAAAUAACCUUCCAAUUUUCUAGCAGCCAGGAGAGAGUAAGAUCUCUAAUUUCCCAAGCAUGAUGUUUUUUUCAGAGACAGUUUCCAGCCAUCCUGAGGGAGAUGAUGAAAGUGUGAAGUCAAAGGAUUACUUUAUAGUCUGCCCCAUGGUAUCUGCCCAUGCUAGAUUCUGUCUGGGGUGCUUGACUUCAUGAGGGAGCCUGGUCCCACUUAUCCCAGAAAAUGGUCUUUUAGUUCCCUAGGUCAUGUUCCUAAAAUUCUUCUGGGCUGGUAGAUGCUCUAGCAUUCACCCUAACAGAUGUCAUCAGCACUGACUUUGCCUGUCCCCUGACAGCCGUAUGGCAUUCUAACUUGACAAGACUUUUCUUCACCUUAAAACAGACAAACAAAUAAACAGCACCAAAAAGCCA